rnacentral:rRNA from 1 species
AAUUUAAGAGUUUGAUCCUGGCUCAGGACGAACAUUGGCGGCGCGCCUAAUGCAUGCAAGUCGAGCGAGCUCGUUUUCUUCGGAAAGCAUAUAGCUAGCGGCGAACGGCUGAGUAACACGUGAGUAACCUGCCUCGAAGAGGGGAAAAACUAUGAGAAAUCAUAGCUAAUUCCGCGUAAUGUCGAUCAUUGAUUUUGAUCGAAGAAAGAAUUUAUUCGCUUUGAGAUGGGCUUGCGUCCUAUCAGGUAGUUGGUGAGGUAAUGGCUCACCAAGCCUAAGACGGGUAGCUGGAGUGAGAGCUUGACCAGCCAGAGGGGGACUGAGACACGGCCCCCACUCCUACGGGAGGCAGCAGCAGGGAAUCUUGCACAAUGGGC